rnacentral:rRNA from 1 species
UGGGGAAUAUUGGACAAUGGGGGCAACCCUGAUCCAGCAAUGCCGCGUGAGUGAUGAAGGCCUUCGGGUUGUAAAGCUCUUUUGCCAGGGACGAUGAUGACGGUACCUGGAGAAUAAGCCCCGGCUAACUUCGUGCCAGCAGCCGCGGUAAUACGAAGGGGGCUAGCGUUGUUCGGAAUUACUGGGCGUAAAGGGCGCGUAGGCGGUCUGAUAAGUUAGGUGUGAAAUUCCCGGGCUUAACCUGGGGGCUGCACUUAAUACUGUUGGGCUUGAAUCCGGGAGAGGAUAGCGGAAUUCCCAGUGUAGAGGUGAAAUUCGUAGAUAUUGGGAAGAACACCAGUGGCGAAGGCGGCUAUCUGGACCGGUAUUGACGCUGAGGCGCGAAAGCGUGGGGAGCAAA